UACGUAGGUGGCGAGCGUUGUCCGGAAUUACUGGGCGUAAAGGGUGCGUAGGCGGUUAGUUAAGUCUGUUGUGAAAUCCCCGGGCUCAACCUGGGAAUGGCAAUGGAUACUGGCUGGCUAGAGUGUGUCAGAGGAUGGUGGAAUUCCCGGUGUAGCGGUGAAAUGCGUAGAGAUCCGGAGGAACACCAAAGGCGAAGGCAGUGUCCUGGGGAGUACCUGACGCUCAGGUGCGAAAGCCAGGGGAGCGAACGGG
rnacentral:rRNA from 1 species